GAUUUCAAUUGAAAAAGUCAUCAACAACAAAAUUGUAUAACUCAUCAAGAUCUAAAACUUUUACUUUUGUCAUUUCUUCAUCCGAUAAAGUGUUAGUAACAUUUUUCACAAAUUUUACAUAUAUGUGUUAUAGUUUAUAAAACCAGAUAAGAGAUACGUCAAUUUUGUGAAUAAUGUUAGUAUCACUUUAUCGGAUGAAGAAAUAAUCAAAAUAAAAGUUUUAGAUCUUGAUGAGAUAUUCAACUUUGCUGUUGAUAACUUUUUCAGUUGAAAUC
rnacentral:pre_miRNA from 1 species